AUGAAGGCCACGAUAAUUAGGCAUGCUGGGAGACCCUGCCGCACACCAAGGAGGAAAUCAACGAGCUGAACCGCCUGAUCAGAGGCUGACGGCCGAGGUGGAGAACGCCAAGUGCAGGUAUGGGUCAUCUAACUCCAAGCUGGAGGCCGCGGUGUGAAUCUGAGCAGCAGGGUGGCGGCCCUCAGUGGCGCCAGCUGCAAGGCGAGUUGGAGCGCGCCCUGCAAGCCAAGCAGGACGCAUGGCCUGCCUGAUCAGGAGGCCUGCCAGGAGGUGAUGAACUCCAAGCUGGGCCUGGACAUUGAGAUCGCCACCUACAGGCGCCUGCUGGAGGGCGAGGAGCAGAGGCUAUGUGAAGGCGUUGGGGCUGUGAAUGUCUGUGUCAGCAGCUCCCGGGGUGGGGUCGUGUGCGGGGACCUCUGCGUGUCAGGCUCCCGGCCAGUGACUGGCAGUGUCUGCAGCGCUCCAUGCAACGGGAACGUGGCGGUGAGCACCGGCUUGUGUGCGCCCUGUGGCCAGUUGAACACCACCUGCGGAGUGGGUUCCUGCGGCGUGGGCUCCUGUGGUAUCAGUUCCUUGGGUGUGGGGUCUUGCGGCAGCAGCUACCGGAAAUGUUAGGCACCCCAACUCAAGUCCCAGGCCCCAGGCAUCUUUCCUGCCCUGCCUUGCUCGGCCCAUCCAGUCCAGGCACCUGGAGCAAGUGCUCAGCUACUUCUCCUGCACUUUGAAAGACCCCUCCCACUCCUGGCUUCACAUUUCUCUGUGUGAUCCCCUACUUCUGGGCUCUGCCACCCCACAAUGGGAAAGGCUACCCUGGCAGCCACAGGAAGGGGCCUCAGGAGCAGGAAGGGCCAGGACCAGAACCUUGCCCAUGGCCACUGCCUUCCUGCCUCUCCCCUUCUUCCUCUGCCCUUGAUCUGUGUUUCAAUAAAUUAAUGUAGCUAA